rnacentral:rRNA from 1 species
UAGGGAAUCUUCCGCAAUGGACGCAAGUCUGACGGAGCAACGCCGCGUGAGUGAAGAAGGAUUUCGGUUCGUAAAACUCUGUUGUUAGAGAAGAACAGCGCAUAGAGUAACUGUUAUGCGUGUGACGGUAUCUAACCAGAAAGCCACGGCUAACUACGUGCCAGCAGCCGCGGUAAUACGUAGGUGGCAAGCGUUGUCCGGAUUUAUUGGGCGUAAAGCGAGCGCAGGCGGUCAAUUAAGUCUGAUGUGAAAGCCCCCGGCUCAACCGGGGAGGGUCAUUGGAAACUGGUUGACUUGAGUGGAGAGGAGGAGGGUGGAAUUCCAUGUGUGACGGUGAAAUGCGUAGAUAUAGGGAGGAACACCGGUGGGGAAGGCGACUCUCUGGUCUGUAACUGACGCUGAGGCUCGAAAGCGUGGGUAGCAAACAGG